AGGUUAUAUACCUCAUCCUUAAGAAAGGCGACAAGCUGCAGUUUGAGAACUUUCAUGCGAUCACUAUUCUUAAUGCCGCCUACAAAGUGGUAUCCCAGAUCAUCUCAUCCCACCAUUAGUGAAUGAGUUCGUGGGAAGUUAUCAAGCCGGUUUCGUAGACGACCGCUCGACAACGGACCAGAUCUGUACUGUACGGCAAAUCCUUCAAAAAUGCCGUGAAAACCAGGUCCCAAUCAGGUUCAUUAAUUUCAAGGCGGCAUACUACAGUAUAGACCGCUUAGAGCUAUGGAAAAUUAUAGACGAGAACAGCUUCCCUGGGAAGCUUACCAGACUGAUCAAAGCAACAGUGGAUGGUGUGCAAAACUGUGUGAAGAUUUCGGGCGAACACUCCAGUUCUUUCGAAUCGCGCCGGAUACUAAGACAAGGUGAUGGACUGUCAUGCGGAGAGCCGGGUGUAACAGCCGGGGUACGAUUUUCAACAGAUCCAGUUCGCAGAUAACAUGGACAUUGUCGGCCGAACAUUUGCAAAGGUGGCCGCCUGCAACGUGAAGCAAUAAAAGUUGGACUGGUGUGGCGCAUCAUCUGUGGAAGUCGGGCCUACUACGGGCUCCAGAAGAAGCUGCGGUCAAAAAAGAUUCGCCACCGCACCAAACGGCACUUGGAGUAUUCGAGAGACGAGUGCUUAGGACCAUCUUUGGCGGUGAAGAAUGAACCACGAGCUCGCCCAGCUCUACGGCGAACCCAGUAUCCAGAAGGUAGCUAAAGCCGGAAGGGUACGAUGGGCAGGGCAUUUUGCAAGAAUGCCGGACAGCCACCCUGCAAAUAUGGUGUUCGCUUCCGAUCCGGCAGGUACAAUACGGCGUGGAGCGCAGCGAGCGAGGUGGGCAGACCAGGUGCAAAACGACUUGGCGAGUGGGGCAAUUAGUUAUUAGUUCCUGGUUAGAGUACUGUGCCAGACAUCUUCUCCUGGGGCAACCAGACGAGCAUGCGAUUCGGCUCGGGCUUGAAGGAGCAGCUGUCGUC